AAAAGAGAGUGCAAUAAUAGAACUGCUAAUUCUAUUUACCAUAUAUAAAAAUAUGGCUCCCUUG
rnacentral:tRNA from 4 species